UACGUAGGGUGCAAGCGUUGUCCGGAAUUAUUGGGCGUAAAGAGCUCGUAGGUGGCCUGUCGCGUCGGCUGUGAAAACUCGGGGCUCAACUCCGAGCUUGCAGUCGAUACGGGCAGGCUAGAGUUCGGCAGGGGAGACUGGAAUUCCUGGUGUAGCGGUGAAAUGCGCAGAUAUCGAUCGGAACACCCAUGGCGAAGGCAGCUCGCUGGCCUGCAACUGACGCUGAGGCGCGAAAGCGUGGGGAGCAAACAGG
rnacentral:rRNA from 1 species